GUAGAAGCAGCAGGCACAUAAAGAAAGAUCUAAUGAAUACUUUGAUCAUUUGGAGAAACCACAUCAAACAUUUGAGGUGACCAAGAGUGUAAACAUUCUGUAACUGAGGUCACAUUAUGGAAUGGUUAAGGGGCUAAUAGGGGCUGAAGACAUUCUGAUGGGAUGGGAGAGGGAAACAAAAGACAUCUUUCCUAAUACCACUGAAAGUGUAGGAAGGGCAACUUGUGUUGCUCAAGAAAACUCUAUAAUCAGGAAUAACAACUGUAAUACACUGUGGUCUCUGGGAAUAUUUACAGGGAGCCGAAUUUUGCAGAAGGACAUUGUGGCUGCCCUUUUGAGUAAUUCAUUGCUGUUACAAACUGGAUAAAUUUCAGCUCCCCAAAUUAUCUACCCAUUUUGCAAAUGGAAGGAAACUAGAAGAAAAAAGGUGUGGAUAAGAGUAACAAAGGGCAGACAUUAAGAGCCUUCAAAAAAAUGAC
rnacentral:lncRNA from 1 species